GUGCCAGCAGCCGCGGUAAUACGGAGGUGGCAAGCGUUGUCCGGAUUUAUUGGGUGUAAAGGGCAUGUAGGUGGCCCAGCAAGUCGAUUGUGAAAGCCCUCGGCUUAACCGAGGAACUGCAACCGAUACUGCUGGGCUUGAGUGCAGAAGAGGAAAGCGGAAUUCCCGGUGUAAGGGUGAAAUCUGUAGAGAUCGGGAGGAACACCAGUGGCGAAGGCGGCUUUCUGGUCUGCAACUGACACUGAAAUGCGAAAGCAAGGGGAGCAAACAGGAUUAGAUACCCUGGUAGUCCUUGCCGUAAACGAUGGACACUAGGUGUCGGGUAGCAAUAUUCGGUGCCGCAGUUAACACAUUAAGUGUCCCACCUGGGGACUACGGCCGCAAGGUUGAAACUCAAAGGAAUUGACGGGGACCCGCACAAGCGGUGGAGCAUGUGGUUUAAUACGACGCUACGCGUGGAACCUUACCAGGGCUUGACAUGUACAUGAAAUCCUUAUGAAAGUAGGGACCUCCCUUCAAGGACAUGUACACAGGUGUUGCAUGGCUGUCGUCAGCUCGUGUCGUGGAGAUGUUGGGUUAAGUCCCGCAACGAGCGCAACCAUUGUCUUUAGUUGCCAGUUACUUCGGUAAGCGCACUUCUAGAGAGAACUGCCUGUUGUUAACAGGAGGAAGUGAAGAACGACGUCA
rnacentral:rRNA from 1 species